GACGAACGCUGGCGGCGUGCUUAACACAUGCAAGUCGAACGAUGAACCCGGAGCUUGCUCCUGUUGGUUAGCGGCGGACGGGUGAGUAACACGUGGGCAACCUGCCUGUAAGACUGGGAUAACACCGGGAAACCGGUGCUAAUACCGGAUAAUCCUUUUCCUCCCAUGAGGGAAAGUUGAAAGUCGGUUUCGGCUGACACUUACAGAUGGGCCCGCGGCGCAUUAGCUAGUUGGUGAGGUAACGGCUCACCAAGGCGACGAUGCGUAGCCGACCUGAGAGGGUGAUCGGCCACACUGGGACUGAGACACGGCCCAGACUCCUACGGGAGGCAGCAGUAGGGAAUCUUCCACAAUGGACGAAAGUCUGAUGGAGCAACGCCGCGUGAGCGAUGAAGGCCUUCGGGUCGUAAAGCUCUGUUGUUAGGGAAGAGCAAGUACCGGAGUAACUGCCGGUACCUUGACGGUACCUAACCAGAAAGCCACGGCUAACUACGUGCCAGCAGCCGCCGUAA
rnacentral:rRNA from 1 species